rnacentral:misc_RNA from 1 species
CUUGGUCAUUUAGAGGAAGUAAAAGUCGUAACAAGGUUUCCGUAGGUGAACCUGCGGAAGGAUCAUUACAGAGUUCAUGCCCUCACGGGUAGAUCUCCCACCCUUUGUUAACCAAACAUUGUUGCUUUGUCUGGCCCGACUCUCGGGUCCGCCGGCCUUCGGGCUGGUCAGUGCCGGACAGAGGAAACCAAAACCUUUAUCACUGUCGUCAGAGUACUAUAUAAUAGUUAAAACUUUCAACAACGGAUCUCU